UACGUAGGUGGCAAGCGUUGUCCGGAAUUACUGGGCGUAAAGCGUGCGUAGGCGGUUGGCAAAGUCAGCUGUGAAAGCCCCGGGCUUAACCUGGGAAUGGCGGUUGAAACUAGUCGACUCGAAUCUGGCAGAGGGGGGUGGAAUUCCACGUGUAGCAGUGAAAUGCGUAGAGAUGUGGAGGAACACCGAUGGCGAAGGCAGCCCCCUGGGCUGAGAUUGACGCUCAGGCACGAAAGCGUGGGGAGCAAAAGGG
rnacentral:rRNA from 1 species